GGCCUGGUGGUGUAGUGGUAACAUGCCUGCUUUACAUGCAGAUCAUGUAUGUUGGCAGCAGGAGAUUCCUUGUUCGAUUCAAGGCCAGGCCA